AUACGGAGGGUGCAAGCGUUACUCGGAAUCACUGGGCGUAAAGCGCGCGCAGGCGGUCUUUUAAGUUGGAUGUGAGAGCCUACAGCUCAACUGUAGAACUGCAUCCAAAACUAUUAGACUAGAGUCUGGGAGGGGAAGAUGGAAUUAGUUGUGUAGGGGUAAAAUCCGUAGAGAUAACUAGGAAUACCAAAAGCGAAGGCGAUCUUCUGGAACAGUACUGACGCUGAGGCGCGAAAGCGAGGGGAGCAAACAGGAUUAGAAACCCUAGUAGUCC
rnacentral:rRNA from 1 species